GUGGGGAAUAUUGCACAAUGGGCGAAAGCCUGAUGCAGCAACGCCGCGUGAGGGACGACGGCCUUCGGGUUGUAAACCUCUUUUAGUAGGGAAGAAGCGAAAGUGACGGUACCUGCAGAAAAAGCACCGGCUAACUACGUGCCAGCAGCCGCGGUAAUACGGAGGGGGCAAGCGUUAUCCGGAAUUAUUGGGCGUAAAGAGCUCGUAGGCGGUCUGUCGCGUCUGCUGUGGAAACUGGAGGCUCAACCUCCAGCCUGCAGUGGGUACGGGCAGACUAGAGUGCGGUAGAGGAGAUUGGAAUUCCUGGUGUAGCGGUGGAAUGCGCAGAUAUCAGGAGGAACACCGAUGGCGAAGGCAGAUCUCUGGGCCGUAACUGACGCUGAGGAGCGAAAGCGUGGGGAGCGAACAGGAUUAGAAACCCGUGUAGUCC
rnacentral:rRNA from 1 species